AGAUGUUUUGGGACUUCAACUCCCAUCACCCCUAGCUAACAGGACCAGUGGUCAGGGAUGAUGGGAAUUGUAGUCCCAAAACAUCU